rnacentral:piRNA from 1 species
AUUCAAAAGAUUGGGAAGACAUUUUGCA